rnacentral:rRNA from 1 species
GACGAACGCUGGCGGCGUGCUUAACACAUGCAAGUCGAACGGAAAGGCCCUGCUUGCGUGGGGUGCUCGAGUGGCGAACGUGUGAGUAACACGUGAGUAACCUGCCCUUGACUUUGGGAUAACUUCAGGAAACUGGGGCUAAUACCGGAGAGGAGCUCCUGCUGCAUGGUGGGGGUUGGAAAGUUUCGGCGGUGGGGGCUGGACGCGCGGCUUAUCAGCUUGUUGGUGGGGGAGUGGCUUACCAAGGCUUUGACGGGUAGCCGGCCUGAGAGGGUGACCGGCCACCUUGGGACUGCGAUACGGACCAGACUCCUACGGGAGGCAGCAGUGGGGAAUCUUGCACAAUGGGCGGGAGCCUGAUGCAGCAACGCCGCGUGCGGGAUGACGGCCUUCGGGUUGUAAACCGCUUUCGCCUGUGACGAAGCGUGAGUGACGGUAAUGGGUAAAGAAGCACCGGCUAACUACGUG